AUACGGAGGGUGCGAGCGUUAAUCGGAAUUACUGGGCGUAAAGCGUGCGUAGGCGGUUGAUUUAGUCAGAUGUGAAAGCCCCGGGCUCAACCUGGGAACUGCAUUUGAAACUGGUCAACUGGAGUAUGGUAGAGGGGGGUAGAAUUUCUGGUGUAGCGGUGAAAUGCGUAGAUAUCAGAAGGAAUACCGAUGGCGAAGGCAGCCCCCUGGACCAAUACUGACGCUGAGGUACGAAAGCGUGGGGAGCAAACAGGAUUAGAAACCCCAGUAGUCC
rnacentral:rRNA from 1 species